UACGUAGGGGGCAAGCGUUGUCCGGAAUCAUUGGGCGUAAAGAGCGUGUAGGCGGCCUGGCAAGUCUCGCGUGAAAUCUUGCGGCUCAACCGCAAGCGGUCGUGAGAAACUGCCUGGCUAGAAUCCGGAAGAGGAGAGCGGAAUUCCUGGUGUAGCGGUGGAAUGCGCAGAUAUCAGGAAGAACACCCGUGGCGAAGGCGGCUCUCUGGGACGGUAUUGACGCUGAGACGCGAAAGCGUGGGGAGCGAACAGGAUUAGAAACC
rnacentral:rRNA from 1 species